rnacentral:rRNA from 1 species
CAGUGGGGAAUCUUGCGCAAUGGGCGAAAGCCUGACGCAGCGACGCCGCGUGGGGGAUGAAGCUUUUCGGAGUGUAAACCCCUUUCGACUGGGAAGAAUGCCCGCAAGGGAGCGACGGUACCAGUAGAAGAAGCCCCGGCUAACUACGUGCCAGCAGCCGCGGUAAGACGUAGGGGGCCAGCGUUGUUCGGAAUUACUGGGUGUAAAGGGUUCGUAGGCGGUGCGGCAAGUUGGGAGUGAAAUCUCUGGGCUUAACCCAGAGGCUGCUUCCAAAACUGCUGUGCUUGAGUGUGAGAGAGGCUCGUGGAAUUGCAGGUGUAGCGGUGAAAUGCGUAGAUAUCUGCAGGAACACCCGUGGCGAAAGCGGCGAGCUGGAUCACAACUGACGCUGAGGAACGAAAGCUAGGGGAGCAAACAGGAUUAGAUACCCUGGUAGUCCUAGCCCUAAACGAUCAGGACUUGGGGUGCCGCCCGUUCGGGCGUCGUCCCGGAGCUAACGCG